GGACCCGCACAAGUAGUGGAGCAUGUGGUUUAAUUCGAAGAUACGCGCAGAACCUUACCAACACUUGACAUGUUCGUCGCGACUUUAAGAGAUUAAAGUUUUCGGUUCGGCCGGACGAAACACAGGUGCUGCAUGGCUGUCGUCAGCUCGUGUCGUGAGAUGUUGGGUUAAGUCCCGCAACGAGCGCAACCCUCACUUUUAGUUGCCAUCAUUUAGUUGGGCACUCUGAAAGAACUGCCAGUGAUAAGCUGGAGGAAGGUGGGGAUGACGUCAAGUCCUCAUGGCCCUUACGUGUUGGGCUACACACGUGCUACAAUGGUACUUACAACAGGAAGCAAGACGGCGACGUUAAGCAAAUCCUUAAAAAGUACCUCAGUUCGGAUUGCACUCUGCAACUCGAGUGCAUGAAGCUGGAAUUACUAGUAAUCG
rnacentral:rRNA from 1 species